rnacentral:rRNA from 1 species
AAGCCAGUGGUGAACUCCACAUACGCAUCCUUUGCUGAGGAUACGGUUAACGGAGCGAAAGCGACGUUCAACCUCAAAAGAAGCAGAGGGGGCUUAGUGGUGGGGUGACUGCGUACCUUUUGUAUAAUGGGUCAGCGACUUAUAUUCUGUAGCAAGGUUAACCGCAUAGGGGAGCCGUAGGGAAACCGAGUCUUAACCGGGCGUUAAGUUGCAGGGUAUAGACCCGAAACCCGGUGAUCUAGCCAUGGGCAGGUUGAAGGUUGGGUAACACUAACUGGAGGACCGAACCGACUAAUGUUGAAAAAUUAGCGGAUGACCUGUGGCUGGGGGUGAAAGGCCAAUCAAACCGGGAGAUAGCUGGUUCUCCCCGAAAGCUAUUUAGGUAGCGCCUCGUGAAUUCAUCUCCGGGGGUAGAGCACUGUUUCGGCUAGGGGGCCAUCCCGGCUUACCAACCCGAUGCAAACUGCGAAUACCGGAGAAUGUUAUCACGGGAGACACACGGCGGGUGCUAACGUCCGUCGUGAAGAGGGAAACAACCCAGACCGCCAGCUAAGGUCCCAAAGUCAUGGUUAAGUGGGAAACGAUGUGGGAAGGCCCAGACAGCCAGGAUGUUGGCUUAGAAGCAGCCAUCAUUUAAAGAAAGCGUAAUAGCUCACUGGUCGAGUCGGCCUGCGCGGAAGAUGUAACGGGGCUAAACCAUGCACCGAAGCUGCGGCAGCGACACUCAGGUGUUGUUGGGUAGGGGAGCGUUCUGUAAGCCUGUGAAGGUGU